rnacentral:rRNA from 1 species
ACCCCGCCCACCCGCCAGAGAACUACGAGUGAAAAACUUAAAACUCUAAGGACUUGACGGUGCCCCAUACCCCCCUAGAGGAGCCUGUCCUACAAUCGAUACCCCACGCUAAACCUCCCCCCCUCUCGUCAAAACCAGCCUAUAUACCGCCGUCGCCAGCCUGCCUAGUGAUAGCCACACAGCAGGCAAAAUAGUACCCCACUAAUACGUCAGGUCAAGGUGUAGCCCAUGAGGGGGCAAGAGAUGGGCUACAUUUUCUAACCACUAGAAAACCCACCAUAGGCUAUAUGAAACUCUAGCUGACCGGCGGAUUUAGCAGUAAAUACGGGCAAGACAUGCCCAAUUGAAGUCGGCCCUGGGGCGCGCACACACCGCCCGUCACCCUCCUCAAACCCCCACAACAAAAUAUAACUAAACCACACCAAAACCACAAGACGAGGCAAGUCGUAACAUGGUAAGCCCACCGGAAGGUGGGCUUGGCACACU